CCCUUAGAUGUUCUGGGCCGCACGCGUGCUACACUGAGUGGAUCAGCGGGUCAGGUUGCGCGAAAGCGUUUCCUAAUCUUUAAAUCCGCUCGUGAUGGGGAUUGACGGUUGCAAUUUUCUGUCAUGAACGAGGAAUGCCUUGUAAGCGCGGGUCAUCAUCCCGCGCUGAAUACGUCCCUGCCCUUUGUACACACCGCCCGUCGCUCCUACCGAUUGAGUGGUCCGGUGAGGCUUUGGGAUCUGAGCGGAAAGAGCGUUUCGCUGUUUCUGCUCGGAAAACUCAGUCGAACCUUAUCAUUUAGAGGAAGGAGAAGUCGUAACA
rnacentral:rRNA from 1 species